AUGCGUUAGGGAUUGACGCGGUAUCCUUUUUCUUUUUCUGAAAAAGAUAGAGCGGAAAGCCCGGCCGGAA
rnacentral:sRNA from 1 species